CAAAAAACCUCAUCUUCUUCAUGCAUGCAUGCACUCAAGAGGCUAUAAAGAAGGCCUAGGACCUAUAAAGAAGAUGCAUCAUGACCAAGAAGAAAAGAGAGGUAAAUAAUGCAUGAGAGCACUAUUUGAGCCAGCCAUAUUGCCUAUAAAAGGAGCCUCUUGCUGCAACGGAGGACACACAACAUCGCUGAGAACACAAGCCUUCAGUAGCAGAGAGAGUGAGCAGCUAGCGAGCAAACUAUCUGCUCUCUAGUAGUAGUAGUAGUAGUA
rnacentral:lncRNA from 1 species